AAUAAUUCAAUUGAAUUAAUAAACGUAUAUCAGUCCGAUGACUUGUUUGUUUAUAAUUAGGUCUACACCUAUGCCUAUGAUUAGCACAGUCAGUGUCUACCCAGCAGCAUUAGCGCACUCCUGUCCCGGACACUGCUCCAGUCCCGCAGCAGGAAAAGAUAUGUGAUAGACCGAAACAUGACACUCUCCUCACAUAGGUAUUUGCCAGUCGCCAUGAUGAGACAAACAUACCACAACAUUUGCCAUGAGUACAACCACUCAAAUAUUGGCAUCUACGAAAGAAGGUGGUACAAAGCAUACAAACACCCAGCAAGACGUUAGCAAGAAACACUCUGGUUGUUUGCUGAAACUUGUAAUGAAAGCUACACACAAUUUAAGGAGCAAAUGACUGGCUCAAAUGGAUGUGAUGCAAACAAUUCCAUCUGUGUGGACAUGAUGAAAUGGACAUGCCCAAUCCAUGGUUAGCAGAAGUUGGCUCUUGUGAACGAUCGCUUUCAGAAUUUUCAUUAAAACCACCGCCUCUUGUUCGUGUUACUGGACUAAAUAAAGUCAUCAAGACGGAGACACAUUUAAGAGACAGAAAGGGUGUAUACGAUCAUAACAAAGGAGAAAAUGUUGGCUCUUGUGAACGAUCGCUCUCAGAAUUUUCGUUAAAACCACCGCCUCUUGUUUGUGUUACUGGACUAAAAAAAGUCAUCAAGACGGAGACAUAUUUAAGAGACAGAGAGGGUGUAUACGAUCAAACCAAAGGAGAACAUGUUCUAGAUUGGCUAUCCUUCAGAACACACGCAAACAUGUCGUCGAAUAUAUAUUUUCUAGUACAAUGGAUAGAAGAGAAAGAUUCAUGGGACGUUCUUCCAUCGAGGUUUAGUGUUAAGAGUGUACACAAUCCAUGCGCUUUAGCCGGGGACUGUUUGUGACUUUUACUGGAAGAAAGGCGAAGAGUCAUCACCAUGUCAUGUAUUAGCAUACGGAACUCAAAACGAAAUGGAAAAAAAAAGAGAUCCGAAGUGGCAAAGAAAGCUGAAGCAGAAGACAAUGAUGAUGAAGCCACAACCUCCUUUGGAGUUGGUAGAAGACAAAUCAAAAAGCCUGCUCGGCUUCAGAAUAACCUAGAAACGUCCGAUCAAACCCCGACUUGUCAAAAAUGAUAAAAAAAAACCUUAAGGAGUUUAAGGAGGGAAUGAAGCAGCAGGAGCCCAAUGAAGGAAAUAGCCCAUCAUCACAUUAUGUGAAACAAACUUCAAAGGUGGAUAUAGGGUACGGAAAGAGGUACCCUGCUAUGUGCCACACAAUCGAGCGACGGCCCAACCAAACUUGUGAGAAGUUUAUUCAGGUCUUUAUUUAAGGUUGAAGAAGUGGUCGGGAAGAGCAUCACUGGCCGAAAAAGCAACGCUCACUUGACCACUACUGAGCCAAAGGAGCAGGCCAUCAUAGAUUUCACGAUGAAGAAAUUCCCCAACACUUCAGUUGCUUUGCUGAGGCAAUCAUUGGCCAAUAAAGUCAAAGAACUAAACAAAAUUAAGGCGAAUUAAUUCAAUUUAUAUUUAUGUCCAUCCGUUUAACCAUAGCUCAACUACCGAAUGCCUAAACCUAAGAGGCCAGACUGUAUUUAUAUAUUCCAGUAACUAACAUAAUUUCAAUACCUUUAGAAUUAUAUUACUGUAACGAUUAUGAUGGACAAAUUUAAUAAGUUAUUAUCGUUGAUUUUAAAAUGUACUGUUCGUAACAAACUGGGAGGGAUAUUUUUAGUAUGUGAAUUUGAUCUUAUAUUUCAUCAUUUUUACAAUGUAAAAUAUUUGGACAUCUCUGGAUCCGCCCCUGCAUCAAGAGAACUUUAAUUAUAUAAGUUAAUGUUAAUAUUUAAGAAAAUUUGAAUUUUUAAUUAACUAAAGCUUGAGGUCACUUGUCAUGCAUUU